GCUAUUCGGAGGUAGUGGACGACGACUAGUGGUAACAUGUGGAUACACAUCCUGAAUAUCCAUGGAGGCGCUGAGCAUUCCCCAUUGAGAGGCAUUGAUUCAAUGGUUCUCCAUGAGGAGAUGCUGAUUGGUGAGGCGAUUGGGCCAGCCGCAACGAGACCAGCGCGAAAGGUAAUGGAGAAAAUCAUCGCUGUCACUUAUAGGCUGCCUGCAUCUUUUUCAAAGACUGCCCCCACCCCCAGAUGACACGUUCGUUGCAUGGCGAGUUGGAGAAGUAAGAUGUGCUUACUUGAAGCUCUCUCUCCUCCAGUCACAGUCUUUCUCUCUGAAACUUAUGCUUCGAGGAACAUGAACAACUUCUGAUUUGCACGCCAGUCCGGUCAGCUUCGACUAUUUUGUUGUUUCUUCUUCUGUUAACUUAAUUAA